rnacentral:other from 1 species
CAAACCCUGCGAUGACCGUGACCGUGCCUCGGUGUUUUGAGCCAACACUAUUUGUUUGGGGCCUGACUCUCCGCCUGUGACUUGCAUGCCUGCUGCGGGCAGGAGCGAUUAAGCAGGCGGGAAGGCGCCACCUGCGAGAGCAGGUUCAAAACAAAGGCCUCCACGACAUUGUGGGGUAAUU